rnacentral:rRNA from 11 species
UGGCGGCGAUAGCGCGGUGGUCCCACCUGACCCCAUGCCGAACUCAGAAGUGAAACGCCGUAGCGCCGAUGGUAGUGUGGGGUCUCCCCAUGCGAGAGUAGGGAACUGCCAGGCA